rfam:Solanum lycopersicum cultivar Heinz 1706 chromosome 8, whole genome shotgun sequence.
GCUGCUAUGGUGAAAUUGGUAGACACGCUACUCUUAGAAAGCAGUGCUAAUGCAUCUCGGUUCGAGUCCGAGUGGUGGCA